ACGCUAGCUACAGGCUUAACACAUGCAAGUCGAGGGGAAACGGCAUUAAGUGCUUGCACUUUUUGGACGUCGACCGGCGCACGGGUGAGUAACGCGUAUCCAACCUUCCCAUGACUAAGGGAUAACCUGCCGAAAGGCAGACUAAUACCUUAUGGUCUUCACUGACGGCAUCAGAUGUGAAGUAAAGAUUUAUCGGUUAUGGAUGGGGAUGCGUCUGAUUAGCUUGUUGGCGGGGUAACGGCCCACCAAGGCAACGAUCAGUAGGGGUUCUGAGAGGAAGGUCCCCCACAUUGGAACUGAGACACGGUCCAAACUCCUACGGGAGGCAGCAGUGAGGAAUAUUGGUCAAUGGGCGAGAGCCUGAACCAGCCAAGUAGCGUGCAGGAUGACGGCCCUAUGGGUUGUAAACUGCUUUUGUAUGGGGAUAAAGUCAAUCACGUGUGAUUGUUUGCAGGUACCAUACGAAUAAGGACCGGCUAAUUCCGUGCCAGCAGCCGCGGUAAUACGGAAGGUCCGGGCGUUAUCCGGAUUUAUUGGGUUUAAAGGGAGCGUAGGCUGGAGAUUAAGUGUGUUAUGAAGUGUAGACGCUCAACGUCUGACUUGCAGCGCAUACUGGUUUCCUUGAGUACGCACAACGUUGGCGGAAUUCGUCGUGUAGCGGUGAAAUGCUUAGAUAUGACGAAGAACUCCGAUUGCGAAGGCAGCUGACGGGAGCGCAACUGACGCUGAAGCUCGAAGGUGCGGGUAUCGAACAGGAUUAGAUACCCCGGUAGUCCGCACAGUAAACGAUGGAUGCCCGCUGUUGGUACCUUGUAUCAGCGGCUAAGCGAAAGCAUUAAGCAUCCCACCUGGGGAGUACGCCGGCAACGGUGAAACUCAAAGGAAUUGACGGGGGCCCGCACAAGCGGAGGAACAUGUGGUUUAAUUC
rnacentral:rRNA from 1 species